UGUUCCAGUGUGAUGUGGGAGGAUUUUCCCCCGUGUGGUUUUAUCGAGAGUUGCCAUGAGUCCCAUGUUGGUCGGAUCGCUGCUGCAGGGCUUUUCCCGUUCUCACAGAGUGGGAACCAUACAUGAAACAAAAAGGACGGGUCCAACCACAGAACCCUGAGGGAUUCCAAAACCAACCCUGGUGGAAACUGGAAUCAGUCAGCUCCUGCUCACCGCGCUCACAAGUUCCUCCGGAUCCGAACCCGCCGCUCUCAGCUCCUUGUUCAAGGCCAGAACAUCCGUAAGGUCCAC